CGUGUAGGCGGCUCGGUAAGUCUGCUGUGAAAGUCCAGGGCUCAACCCUGGAAUGCCGGUGGAUACUGUCGAGCUCGAGUCCGGAAGAGGCGAGUGGAAUUCCUGGUGUAGCGGUGAAAUGCGCAGAUAUCAGGAGGAACACCAAUGGCGAAGGCAGCUCGCUGGGACGGUACUGACGCUGAGACGCGAAAGCGUGGGGAGCAAACAGGAUUAGAUACCCUGGUAGUCCACGCCGUAAACGAUGGGUACUAGGUGUAGGGGGUGUCGACUCCCCCUGUGCCGACGCUAACGCAUUAAGUACCCCGCCUGGGGAGUACGGCCGCAAGGCUAAA
rnacentral:rRNA from 1 species